rnacentral:rRNA from 1 species
UACGGAGGGUGCAAACGUUGCUCGGAAUCAUUGGGCGUAAAGCGCACGUAGGCGGUCCAGCAAGUCGGGUGUGAAAGCCCUCGGCUUAACCGAGGAAGUGCAUUCGAAACUACUGGACUUGAGUACUGAAGAGGAUCGCGGAAUUCCCGGUGUAGAGGUGAAAUUCGUAGAUAUCGGGAGGAACACCAGUGGCGAAGGCGGCGAAUCUGGGCAGAUACUGACGCUGAGGUGCGAAAGCGUGGGGAGCAAACAGG